rnacentral:rRNA from 1 species
CGUAGGGUGCAAGCGUUAAUCGGAAUUACUGGGCGUAAAGCGUGCGCAGGCGGUUAUGCAAGACAGAUGUGAAAUCCCCGGGCUCAACCUGGGAACUGCAUUUGUGACUGCAUGGCUAGAGUACGGUAGAGGGGGAUGGAAUUCCGCGUGUAGCAGUGAAAUGCGUAGAUAUGCGGAGGAACACCGAUGGCGAAGGCAAUCCCCUGGACCUGUACUGACGCUCGUGCACGAAAGCGUGGGGAGCAAACAGGAUUAGAUACCCUGGUAGUCCACGCCCUAAACGAUGUCAACUGGUUGUUGGGAGGGUUUCUUCUCAGUAACGUAGCUAACGCGUGAAGUUGACCGCCUGGGGAGUACGGCCGCAAGGUUG